rnacentral:rRNA from 1 species
UACGUAGGGUGCAAGCGUUGUCCGGAAUUAUUGGGCGUAAAGAGCGUGUAGGCGGCCCGACCAGUCCGCUGUGAAAGUCCAGGGCUCAACCCUGGAAUGCCGGUGGAUACUGUCGGGCUAGAGUCCGGAAGGGGCGAGUGGAAUUCCGGGUGUAGUGGUGAAAUGCGUAGAGAUCCGGAGGAACCCCAGAGGCGAAGGCGGCGCCCUGGCUCGUACCUGACGCUGAGACACGACAGCAUGGGGAGCGAACGGG